CAGCAGCCCGGGAAUACGAAGGGGGCUAGCGUUGUUCGGAAUUACUGGGCGUAAAGGGCGCGUAGGCGGCCAUUCAAGUUAGAUGUGAAAGCCCUGGGCUCAACCUAGGAAUUGCAUUUGAUACUGUUUGGCUUGAGUUCGAGAGAGGUGAGUGGAAUUCCCAGUGUAGAGGUGAAAUUCGUAGAUAUUGGGAAGAACACCGGUGGCGAAGGCGGCAACCUGUCCAUAACUGACGCUGAGGCGCGAAAGCGUGGGGAGCAAACAGGAUUAGAUACCCCUGUAGUCCCUGUCUCUUAUACAC
rnacentral:rRNA from 1 species